UCAAUGCUAAGAAUACCGUAUGCUCAGCCGUAACUCAACAUGGAAGCGAACGAAUCGAUUGACUCCACUUCAAUCUUGCACAGACGCUAAGCAAAACGAAGAAUCACGAACGUGAAUCGAUUCUCUCGUGAAGAAUCUCACGAAAACAACUCCGGAUCCGUGCUUAUACUCGGCCUCGAACCGCAAUCAAUCGAGAUCGAAAUUAUAUAACACUCUAUUCUUACGCAGGAAAUGAAAUCAAUUGAAGGAUGAAAUUGUACCCGACUCUUGUUGUGCGGUUCAGAAGACGAAGACGAAGUGCGUCACGGCCAAUGAUGCGUUGACGAUGAUCGAAAAUGGAGCGAAGCGUCUCUAUUCUAAAAAGAGGCGGUUAUUGAGGAUUGAAGGUUGUUAGAGUUUGUUAUGGUGGUGGAAGAGAAUAAUGGAAAAGAGGAAGAAGAAAUCGGGGAAGAGAGAAAAGAGAUUGGAGAGAGAAGAAGAAGAGGCAUGAAAAUUCGCCGACUUGUGUAUUUAUAUUGCUGGAUGCGUUGCGAGCUUUGCACCGUUCUUUUAUGCAUCUGGCUUAGCUUUGGCAUGUCAGUUUGGCUUGAACGUUCAUUGCAGAUUUGUAGCUGCGCUCUUGGCUGGUGCAGUUGAUGCAGCUUAUGAAUGAGCUUUUAUGCAGCUGCGGCUUGGUUUAUGCUUUCAUUAGCUUACGUUUUCUUUGGCUCUCUCUUGGAAGUAGUCUUCGGUAAUAGAUUUUAUGGUUUGUGUUACCAUAGCCUCAAUUUCCACUGGCUUGGCUGCACUGUUUUCGCUGUCUUUGAGCUUGGAUUUCACGAUGAGUUGCUACAGGUUUUGGAAGUGUGUUUGUCUUGACUUCACUUUCAUGCUGCGUUUCAUGGCUUUGUAGCUUACGCUUGGCUCAGCGUUUCAGCUUUUGUUUAACAGCUUUUGGACGUCGGCUUUGUAACUGCUGUUUUGAUUUGAGUUCCACUUUGCAGCUUGGUCGUUGCUUACUGUAGCUGCGUUUUGUUUGGAAGCCAACGUUUGGAUGCACCUUUGGCUUGCCUUUACGUUUUGGACGUGUAGCUGUUAGGUUUUUUGGAUUAUGCAGCUUCUAGAUAGCAGCUCCAAGCUACAUUUCACUUUUUCGGUUGUAGCUGCAUUGUUUAGCAACUUAUUUCCCUUUCUUUUGGUUGUAGUCCCGUUGUACCUUCAUGUUUUGGAAUUGGCAUUUUCCGUGCAUAAUAAUAAUAAAAGAAAAUAAUGGAAUGGUUAAUUGGAUUUGUAUAUGUAGUGGGUUAAAUUGUAUUUGGAUUUGAUUAAAUGCAUUAUUGAAUUUGAUUUUA